CUAGGAAAACUACCAGAUUUAUAAUAGUCUCAAGAAAAAAAAAAACUUGAGAAUCAACUUAAUGAAAAAGGUGAAAAACCUCUAUAAAUGAAAACUACAUUGUACUAAAGAAAAAAAUUAAAGAAUAUCUUAGAAAAAUGAAAGAUCUCCCUAUUCUUGGAUAGGCAGAAUUAAUAUUGUCAAUACUACCAAAAGAAAUAUAUAGAUUUAAUGCAAUUCCACUCAAAAUCCCAAUGACAUUAUUCACAGAAAUAGAAAAAGCAGUCAUUAAAUUAAUCUGGAUAAAUAAGAGACCAAGAAUAGCCAAAGCAAUCCUUAGCAAGAAGAGUGAAGCAGGUAGCAUCACUUGACCAGAACUUUAACUAUACUACAGAGCAAUAGUAACAAAAACAGCAUGGUGUUGGCACCAAAGUACACUUAGUUUACCAAUUGUACAGAAUAUAAGACAUAGAGACAAACCCACAAAACUACAGUCAUCUCAUAUUAGACAAGGGCACCAAAAACACAUAUUGGAGAAUGGAUAACCUCUUCAACAAAUAGUGCUGUGAAAACUGCAAAUCCUUAUGCAACAAAAUGAAAUUAAGCCCCUAUCUCUCCCCAUACACAAAUCUCAACACAAAGUGGAUCAAGG
rnacentral:lncRNA from 1 species